rnacentral:SRP_RNA from 1 species
CGCAAUGAUAACUUGUGAACUCGGCCAGGCCUGGAAGGGAGCAACCGCAGCAAGUGACUCAUGUGCCG